rnacentral:rRNA from 1 species
AAGGAAUAUUGGACAAUGGCGGCAACGCUGAUCCAGCUAUCCCGCGUGCAGGAUGAAGGGGCUACGCCUUGUAAACUGCUUUGGACUGAGACGAAAAAAUGGGAUUCUUCCCAUAUUGACGGUAUCAGUAGAACAAGCACCGGCUAACUCCGUGCCAGCAGCCGCGGUAAUACGGAGGGUGCAAGCGUUAUCCGGAAUCACUGGGUGUAAAGGGUGCGUAGGCGGCCUGUUAAGUCAGGAGUGAAAGGCCACAGCUUAACUGUGGGAUUGCUUUUGAUACUGGCGGGCUUGGAUUAGGACGAGGUUGGCGGAAUGUGGCAAGUAGCGGUGAAAUGCAUAGAUAUGCCAUAGAAUACCGAUUGCGAAGGCAGCUGACUAGACCUAUAUUGACGCUGAGGCACGAAAGCGUGGGGAGCGAAC